rnacentral:lncRNA from 1 species
GUAAAUUUUGAAGUCCCUGCUGAAAAAUAAGAAAAGUGAGUGUAUUCGCUUUUAUUUCAAACUUCCCCUGUUUCCAUGGCAAUAUCCCAGUGAGGUACCAAGAGGAGAUGCUGGGAUAUGAGGUAUUUAACAGUUCUUUCUCUGAGCAUCGUGAAAGGCAAUGCUGAGAUCCAUGCGUAAAGAAAAGCGAGCUGGGAAUGACAUGGGGACACUGCAGAAUUAUUGCACAGAGGAAGAGAAAAUUCCAACACCCUGUGAAUCCACAGAGGGAAAAGGCAUUGCAGAUGUGUGCUGGAAUUUCCUGGAGACAUCCUGCAUUCUUGCAGCCUCCCUUCUCUGCUACAUCAGCUGCAUUUUGCAUCAUGUCCCUGGGGCAAGCUGCAUCCUUAAGUUUCUCCCUGCAGAUAAAAAAUUAGUAAUGCC